rnacentral:misc_RNA from 1 species
CCUGCUAUUCUGCUUUUAGAUGAGGCAACAAGUGCAUUGGACUCUGAGUCAGAAAAACUGGUGCAGGAGGCUCUUGAUAGGUUCAUGAUUGGGAGGACAACUCUUGUAAUUGCCCACAGGCUCUCCACCAUUCGAAAGGCUGAUCUUGUAGCAGUAAUCCAGCAGGGUAGUGUCACAGAAAUCGGAACCCACGACGAGCUCAUUGCCAAAGGAGAGAACGGUGUUUAUGCCAAGCUCAUCAGAAUGCAGGAAAUGGCUCAUGAAACAGCUAUGAACAAUGCCAGGAAGAGUAGUGCAAGGCCCUCAAGUGCCAGAAACUCCGUGAGCUCACCAAUUAUUGCGCGUAAUUCUUCUUACGGCCGAUCACCAUAUUCACGCAGGCUAUCUGACUUCUCUACCUC